UACCCAUGGCAUAUGGAGGUUCCCAGGCUGGGGGCAAAUCAGAGCUGUGGCUGCCAGCCUACACGAGAGCCACAGCAAUGCCAGAACCAAGCCGCGUCUGUGACCUACACCACAGCUCACAGCAACACCGGAUCCUUAACCCACUGAGCAAGGCCAGGGAUCGAACCUACAUCCUCAUGGAUGCCAGUCGGGUUUGCUAACCGCUGAGCCAUGACAGGAACUCUUGGUGGUUCUUUUCUUUUUAGUGCCUGCAUAUACCUCAGUUUAUUUAUUCAUUCACCUAUUAAAAGGCAUCUUGGUUGCUUCCAAGUUUUGGCAGUUAUGAAUAAAGCUUCUAUAAGCAUUCAUGUGUAGGUUUUUUUUGUUUUUUGGCCUUUUUUGUUUGUUUGUGUUUUUGGUCUUUUUGUCUUUUUUUAGGGUGGCACCCUCGGCAUAUGGAGGUUCCCAGGAUGGGGGUCUGAUCAGAGCUGUAGCUGCCACCCCACACCACAGCCACCGCAAUGCAGGAUCCGAGCUGUGUCUGGGACCUACACCACAGCUCACAGCAACGCCGGAUCUUUAAUCCACUGAGCAAGGCCAGGGAUCAAACCCACAACCUCAUGAUUCCUAGUUGAAUUCAUGUCUGUUGCACCACGACGGGAACUCCAUGUGCAUGUUUUUCUCAAAUUUAACAGUAGAAACAUUAAAUAUCUUGUUGAAAUUCCAACGUGUUGUAGAUGAUUUCCUAGUCUUUUAGGUGAAAGUCGUAUAGUAUACUAAUAUUAAUUUGAAGAUAAAGUGGUGGUCUUUUUGUCUUUCUUCUUCUAAGACCAUCAGUAAUGUUUCUUGUUAUUUCUAACAACUGGUACAUUGUAGGUGGAAGUAACUCUGUGUGUGCGUGUGUGUGUGCGCGCGUGCGUGCACAUGCGGGUGUGUGCACGUUGGCUUUAUACCACAAUUAAAGAGAGGGAGAAACAGGCUGAUUUACAGGUCAUUGAAAACUUUCCACAUAAAGGCAAACUGGUCAUUUAUGCACAGCCAUUUGGAGGGAAUGUCGCCUUGCUUUGUACUCACUAAGGGAGCUCUAUUUUUGAUGAGAGACUGUACAUUUGUUCAGUGGAAAGAAAAUAGCUUCUUUCUCCCUUGCUGACUGAAUUGCUAACUAUUCUUCAAGUCUCAUUGUUCCCUUUAUUCAGUAUUAAAAUACACGUCCUGUCUUUACUACCAUUAGUCAGUCAUUCCAAAGAGCCCUUUUUCUUAAAUAUCUAAAACCCAGGACCAAAGAACACUUUUCUCUCAGUUGUGUUUUAUUAUUGGUUAGAAGAGAACCAAUUCAUAACUUUUCAACAUCAAAAAAACAGUGAGAAAAAGUUUCCCUUAAAAUCAUCUUAGACCUUAGCUUGUAUCAAACCCUUUUUUUUUUUUUUUUAAUCUUUAAAAUCUGUUGUUUCAUCAGAAUUGUUUGUAGGGAAAAUGUACAGCUCAGUAUUGUUUAACUGCAGGCCAACAGAGGACUGUCGUAUUGCACUUCUAAUCAAAAAAUAAAUUGAACAUAGUGGUGGGCUUACAGAAAGAGAGAGAAUUAGAUUUGAUUAGAUUAGCUUUAACCUGCCCAGAAUAAAACUGUCUGCCUUUCCUGUUAUUUGUCAGUGUUUAUAGCAGGUUUUGUCUACAAUGCUUUCACUAUUAUUUCCAGACGGUAAAAGGCAGUCAAGCAGAAAAGACACUCAUAAAUGUCAGAAAAGAGUAAGGUUUUUUUGCAUUUCAAGGGCUUUGAAGGUCAAGUUCAACCCACUUACGGGAAGCAGGGUGACGGGGAUGUAGUAGCAUGAUGUUAGUUGGUGUAUUUAGGUAUAUAAUUGAUGUGAAAUUAAUGCACAUGUCUGUUACUCUAAGAAAAGUGAACUCUCCUGGGAAGAUUCUGUUUAUCUUACACAUUUUGUUUCCCUGUUAGAAGGUAAAAUAAAUCAAAUUUCCAUAAUGCCUGAUGAGGAAGGGAAGAUGCACAAUGUGUAAAAAAUGAUCAGGUUACGGAGCCCUGUGGUUCUUUCCUGUUCUCCCCACUGUAAUUUGGUUCUUCCUCCUGACAGCUUCCCCACUCCAUGCCAUGAGGAGAAAGAGUUCUGUUAAGAAUUUUUGCAAACCAGCGAGAGUUUUUUUUUUCCUCCAGAAGACUUUAUUGAGAUGUUUCCCUUUUCUUUUUCUGCGUGAGACUUUAUUUUUUUCCCACCGGGGAGCCCAAGCAAUUAUAGUUAAAAGCUACCAAAAAUAGGUAUGUUCUUUGAUAUCAAAGAGCUUCUUGAAGAUUUUUCCAACUAAAGAGACCCAAAGGUUGUAUUUCAAGGUGCUACUAGCCUGGGCCUUUGUAGUUUAAAACUCUCAGAAUGUUCUACCAAGUGUAUUAUUCUUUGGAGGUGUUGGGCUUGUAUUUGGUAAAGGGAAGGUGUUUGAAUCUGUGCGUGUGUUCCUACCUCUGCUGAACUGAGGUUUACUAGUUACAAAUUCUAUCCUCAGAACAGAAGAUAGGGAAUAGGGAACAGAGGAGACUGUUACGGAACACUCACUGUGUGCCAGAUACACGAUGUAUAUUAUUUUUCAAUCCUCGCUGUAGUAUGAGAAGUGGUCGGUUACUCUCCUCAUUUUCCAGGUUAGAGGUUCAGAGGGGUCAAAUUCACUUGUCUGGGAGCAAACUCAGGUUUUGUUAAUGCCUGUUAGUUCACUAGGGUAGGCUCCAGAAAGGAGGAAUUAGAAGAAUAAAACCUGCAGAUCAAAGCCAAUAUCUUGGGAAAAGCGUGUGUGUUAUGGUGGGAGGACGAAAAUACACUUUCAUGCAAUAAGAUGCUUUGAGCACUAUAAUAUCAGUAGAUGGUAAAAGUUCAGAUGUUUUUUGUUUUUUCUAAGGAAAUGUCUUUUGGUCACUGCACUUAGGUCCUGGUUUGCUCCUACUUUCCUGGACUUUCUUAUCCUUCUCUUCCCCUUUUAUUAUCAGUUUUCAAUAUACAUGUUCCUGUUGCUUUUCCUGUAUUAAAAGGUCACUUCUCUCUUGCUUUUCCCUUUCCAUUUCCAGAGCAUGCCGUAUCUUAGAAACCCCAAAGUCCAUGAUAGGAUUUUACUAAACAGUGAAACAGGGAUGUGUAUUCAAUAAAUGUUUGUUGAGCACCAUCUGUAUAGCAGAUAUUAUAUGAGAAUGAUGUAGUAGCAACCAAAACACACAGUUCCUGCCCUUGUAGAAUGUCAACCCCGAAGGAAAAUAAAGACGUUGAACUACUUUAUAAUGAAUACAUACUAGCUUUUCUUCUUUAUAUUUUUCUGCCAUCACUGACUUUCUUAUUUUAGAAGAACAGAUUGAACUCAAACUCUAUAUAGACACGGUGUAGGUGCUCAAUAAAUGCGUAUUGAUUUGUAGAAAAUAUUAAAUCUCUUUAGCCCUCAUCUUCUCACAAAGGCAAUAUUUUAAAAUAGUCUUUGGCAAAAAAAUAUCUUCUGUAGUUGACUGUCACCAUCAGUCAACACAUAUGGAUAUUGGGUGUUUAUGAAGGAAGGGCUUUUUAUAGCUUUAUCAGAGUUAAACCUCAUAAAUUUGUGAGGAAGUGGCUCUUAUAAUCUCCAUUUUACAGUUUAGAAAGCUGUAGACAGGAACUAAAUUGUCCACUGUGUAGCUGAGAUCAGGAUGUAGUCUCUCUAUCUCCAAAUCAUCAUCUCUUUGGACUACAUUGCCUCUUGACAAUGACUACGACAAAACAUCAAGAGAUGUACAAACAUCUCAGUUUCCACAUGCCAUACCCAUCUUUUCACCUGAAAAGCACAGAGGCACGUUAUUGUAUUCAUUUAAUUUAUUGCUUCACCAACAUUUCUUGAGCCAAAGAAUGAGUUUUCAGGACUAGGGGUCCAAGUUGUAGUCCUUUCUUUCAAGUCAUUUAUUGGAGUAGGCAGAUCUAUAACUUAAUAAAUACAGGGCUGUGAGAUAAAAUAUCCUUGAGGUAUAAUGGAAAGAGCGCUAGCUUUUAAGAUAUCUGUUUUGAAUCUUGAUAUUGCUAUUUACACUAGUUGCUAUCCUAGGCAAAUCAUUUUUCUCCUUGGAUCAGCAGUUUCCUCAACUGUUAAGUGGGGGAUAAGAGUAUUGAUGUGUAUUGCAGUUGUCAAUAUUAGAGGAAAUGUGUGUAAAGGGUCCUGCACAAUUCCACACACAUAGUAGGUGCUCAAUUAAUGUUACUACAAUUACAACAUGACAGUGCAUGUUAGCAUAUUAUACAUUUAUAUGUAUAUAUAUUAGUUUGGUUUUUAUAUCUCUAUUUACCUCUUCCCCCUGCCCCCUACCUCCUUCCUCUCUGACUCUGGACUCCCCAAGAAUGUAGGGACUAAUUUCCCUACCAGGCAGUAGAAAAGCUAGGGGAAAAAGGAGGUAAAGUUUUUUUUUGGUUUUUUUUUUUUGUAAUUUUCCCACUGUACAGCAAGGGGAUCAAGUUAUCCUUACAUGUAUACAUUACAAUUACAUUUUUUUCCCCACCCUUUGUUCUGUUGCAACAUGAGUAUCUAGACAAAGUUCUCAAUGCUAUUCAGCAGGAUCUCCUUGUAAAUCUAUUCUAAGUUGUGUCUGAUAAGUCCAAGCUCCCGAUCCCUCCCACUCCCUCCCUCUCCCAUCAGGCAGCCACAAGUCUUUUCUCCAAGUCCAUGAUUUUCUUUUCUGAGGAGAUGUUCAUUUGUGCUGGAUAUUCGAUUCCAGUUAUAGGUGAUAUCAUAUGGUAUUUGUCUUUGUCUUUCUGGCUCAUUUCACUCAGGAUGAGAUUCUCUAGUUCCAUCCAUGUUGCUGCAAAUGGCAUUAUGGCAUUCUUUUUUAUGGCUGAGUAGUAUUCCAUUGUGUAUAUAUACCACUUCUUCCGAAUCCAAUCAUCUGUUGAUGGACAUUUGGGUUUGUUUCCAUGUCCUGGCUAUUGUGAAUAGUGCUGCAAUGAACAUGCAGGUGCAUGUGUCUCUUUUAAGUAGAGUUUUGUCCGGAUAGAUGCCCAAGAGCGGGAUUGCGGGGUCAUCUGUAAGUUCUAUGUAUAGAUUUCUAAGGUAGCUCCAAACUGUUCUCCAUAGUGGCUGUACCAGUUCACAUUCCCACCAACAGUGCAGGAGGGUUCCCUAAAAGGAGGUAAAGUUUUUUUUUUAGAGUCUGAAGACAGAUUUUUUUUGGGGGGGGGAGCUUGUUUUGUUUUUGUCAUUGUUGUUUUCCCCUGAACUGAAAUUUUGGAUAGCAGGAACUAUACCAGCGUGUGAAGCUACCAAAAAGCAAGGAGCUUUCCCAGAACGCAGUAUGCUGACUGUAGCUAAAACAUGAAGAAUGAGCUUGGGGAGGCUGAGAGCUAGGCUGGACAGAUUGUCAGAGGUCAGAUCAUAAAGGGGCUUUUGUAUCAUGCUAAGCCACUUGGACUCCAUCUCACCAUACAAACAACUUCCUCUCGCCGAAAUAGAAAAAGAACAAGCCUAGAAUUAAAGUGAUUGAAACAACCUAGCUUUGCUUGUGGAGUUCUUAACUGCAUGGAAAGAAGAAGAAAUCUACUAAAAAUGCAUUUGAACACCAAAGAAAUGAUACAUAUUGAAUGAGAAUCUUUACGAUUGAUGGAUAAUGGGGAGGUGAGAGUUCUAGUGAAAUAUACCAUUAGGAAGCAUCUCAAAUCAAAUCCCAAAGGAGCAUGUGGUGCGGAAAUGUUACAGGCAAAUUUUGUCCCUUACACAGCAAGUUCUAAAGCCACCAAGACAAGGCUCAGAGUGCCUGGACCCCAAAUAGACACUUACCUUUUCCCCUGAAAGUCAGCAUGAAUAUUUGAUAACAUCGCCCUUUCCAUGAAGGGGCCCUCUCUCAGUGGGAGUGGUACCUGGGAUCUCUCAGCAGAACAGAACUAUUUGUUUUCUUAAGGAUUUCUUUCUGUCCUGGAGGUAGAUUCUAAAAGCUCCUAAAGUAUUUUGAUUUUGAAAUUCUCACAAAAGUAUUUUUUCUCUCUCAGUAAUUCAAUAUAAAAGGCAAUAAAAGUGAUAUAUUCAUAAGUAUUCAGGACCUGCUAUCAGGGCCACAUGGGAAUAAACUAUCUUGCCACUCGCUCAUCCCACAGGAGAAAAGCAUCACAAUUCACAUACAGGAAAUAUUGCAUGUGUUUGCCUCCAUUUUGCUCCUAUUGUCUGCUCUGUUGAAAGGCAGAUUUUUUUGCAGAUAAAAGCUGCCCUGUCUUGCUGAACUGCUCAUCUAUUUUGCUCAGGAAGAAAAGGCUUUGUUAAAAUCAGGAGCAAAGCCUGAUUUGCAAAACAUCACCUAAAAAUAACAAAACGCAGGAAAAUGUCAAAAUAUGCUGACUAUGGACCAACUUUGUGCUUUGGAAAAUUACCCAACAAAUUUGGCAACUACUGUUUUUUAAGUGAACAGGAAUUAUGGGGUUUCCAGGCACCAUCUUACCAAUUGGCAGUUAGGUGCUUAAGAGCAAACGAGGGGAGGGUGUGGAGGUGGCCUUGCUCUUGCUGCUGAGCGAGGCCCUUAGAUCUGUGGCUGGAGAAGAUGAACUGGGCCACGCUCACUCGGGCCUCCAAAAAUCUUCCCAGGUUACUCAUGUGUUUUGGAUGUUUGUUUACAUGAGGCUUCUGGCUUGGCUGCUUUUGCCAAUGGGGAAACAUUGGUGAACAGGACAGGUAGAGCUUCUGCUUUUCAAGAGCUCUCAAUCCCUUGGGGAUGGAGGUAUUAAGCCAGUCUUUGCAACAGUGCACAGAGACAUAUAGUAAAUGGAAGGUUCAGUGUUGGGGAGAUGGGGGCAGUAAGCCCUUGAGGAGUUGUGAAAAUUCAAUCCCUGGGACCCAAUUCUGCAAAGGCAUACCCACCUAGGUUGGGUCUUGGGCACCGGCACUGAGAUUUUGGUUAAAAUAUUAAGCUCUAGCCCAAGCUUGCUUCCCAUCAACUGAAUCUGUUUCUAAAUUUGGGGAAAUGGCCUUUGUUUCUUCACAACUAUUUAUUGGUAAUUUCUUUUCCUGGAACUACCUUGGUGUAUGCUUUUAUGAUAAUGUUUACUGAAUAAAUCUGAAUAUUUGGCUUAUAGAACUAACAAAUAGUCUCCAGAGAAAUCUCAUCUUUAUGCAGUCGCAUAUAAGAUACAAAACCAGAUAAAUAUACAUAGAAUUGAAAAUGUUCAGACUCUUUUUGCUUUGAUUUCAGGUUUUCAACAAAGUAACUCAGCGGACAUUUAAAGUUCCUAUUGUGAGUACCAGGGCUUAGCGGAAGUGGUUUGACCAGGUGUGUUAACCCCUCAAUAUCCACAUACAUAUGAAAGACUGAACCUGAUCAUAUUCUGUACAAUUGAGUGAAAAUAAGUGGAAGCUUCUUGUCAGACAAGGGUUAAAGAGGAAAUAAUCUCUUUUGCUGCAAACUUUUUCUCAGCAGGUGCAAAAUAGCUGCAAUCAGGUAGGCUUUGGUAAAUGGCAGCUGCUAUCUACCAAGUUUAAAGAUCACAAAUUCUCACCCCAUUUCUAUUUCAAUUACAUAGACACCAGUUUCAAUUUUUGAGUGUCUGAAGGCAUGCCUAACUCUGUGAUAAGAAAUGGGCCUGGACACAGACUGGGGGCCAAGUACAGAACUGUGCUAUGAAUCUUCCUUGAAGCAGCACUCGCUCUGACCAGUAGGGGUCCCUGGUCAUCAUUAUAGUGCCAUUAGACUUGAGACCCAGCUAGAUUCCUAAAACAUUCCAUUGUACAGAUGAGGAAAUUGAGGCCUAGAGAGGAUAAAAAUCUUACUCAUGUUUACAUGGGUCAUAGACCUAUCAAGGCACAGCCUCUGGACUUAAGCUGAUACCUGUUUUGUGCCACAGUGAUAAAUAUGCCAGGUCUCAUUGAUUAGUAUCACUACUGCCUGGAGCAUGGUAUUGAAAGGGUUCUGAAUUAGCAUCCUCACUGAGGGAAAAAAUGGUACUACAGUUGAUUAGUAAUGUCUGUCCAGAGAGAGUACGGGGGCAUGGUGUGCUGUGUAUUUGCUGAAUUUGGUUGAAUGAUGAAGGUUGACUGGUAAUCAAAUAAUUACCACAUAAUGUGAUUAUUACCACAUGAUUUAUUCUUAUGCUUCAGAAUAAAGUGCUCUAAAAUCUUUGUGGAGGGUUAGGGCUAUUGCAGAAGAGAUGGCCUUUGGAUUUGGUCUUAAAGAAUUAGUAGCAGUUUUCUGACAGAGAAAGGAAAGAAGACAUUCCAUGAAGGAAGGAUAGCUUGCGCAGGAGACCCAAUAUAUAGAGAAAGGAAGGAAAUUAAUGAUCAUUGAUUGCCUGUUACCCUGCUCAGUCCUAAGCUCGGUCCUUUAUUUAUCAUAUUAUUGAAUUUUCAUAAUGACUAUGAGUUUAUAGAUGAAAAGUAGAGACAAAGAAAAUUAAGAUGCCCUGGGUCGUAUAGCUACUAAGCAGAGCUGAAAUUUUAAUUACUGGGGCUCCAAAGUAACUUUAGUGGUAGGUACUCAGAGGCACAGUAUAGGUGAAGUAGAGAAGGUUGGGGGGGUGGAAAUUAUAAAUUGGGGUUUGGACUGUUCAAUUUGAGUUACCUCAGACAUCCAAAUAGAGGUAGCUAGUAGGCUAUUGGAAAUAUGGCAUUGACUGAUCUGGUUAUGAUUAAAAAAUAUAUCAAAGACUUACUGAUGACAGAUCGUGUGCAUGUACUUCUAGGCUUCUGCUUGACAGUGGAGAUCUUUCUGCCUCUGCUAUUUUAGCACAGAAGAUUAUGUGAUAAACUAAUAUGCUUUAUGUUUUAUGAGCGAUUCAAAUGACUGUCAAUGCAAUAUUAAAUCUAGAAUUGAUAGGGAAACUUUCUUACUUAGAAAUUCAAGUGUUCUUAGCACAAUACUGUUUAUUAUUAUCUUGAGACCUGAGCUCUGGCAAAAAUACUUGUGUUCAGCAAAAGACUGUUUAAUAUGUGUGUGUUCCUCCACCAAGGUUCGACUUCGAACUGCAAAAGGAUUCUUUAUAAAGAGAUGUUGGGAGGUGCAACAAUUGAUAUUUGUGCGUGGGGCUGGG
rnacentral:lncRNA from 1 species